UUACAGAUGGGCAUGCGUAUCAUUAGCUAGUUGGUAAGGUAACGACUCACCAAGGCAACGAUGAUUAGGGGUUCUGAGAGGAUAUCCCCCCACACUGGAACUGAGACACGGCCCAGACUCCUACGGGAGGCAGCAGUGGGGGAUAUUGCACAAUGGGCGAAAGCCUGAUGCAGCAACGCCGCGUGAGGGAAGAAGGUAUUCGUAUUGUAAACCUCUGUCUUUGGUGAAGAAAAAAAUGACGGUAGCCGAGGAGGAAGCCACGGCUAACUACGUGCCAGCAGCCGCGGUAAUACGUAGGUGGCAAGCGUUGUCCGGAAUUACUGGGUGUAAAGGGUGCGCAGGCGGGAAGGCAAGUUGGAUGUGAAACCUAUGGGCUUAACCCAUAGCCUGCAUCCAAAACUGUUUUUCUUGAGUGGAGUAGAGGCAGGCGGAAUUCCGAGUGUAGCGGUGAAAUGCGUAGAUAUUCGGAGGAACACCAGUGGCGAAGGCGGCCUGCUGGGCUCUAACUGACGCUGAGGCACGAAAGCAUGGGGAGCAAACAGGAUUAGAUACCCUGGUAGUCCAUGCCGUAAACGAUGAUUACAUAGGUGUGGGGGGGUCUGACCCCCUUCCGUGCCCGGAGUUAACACAAUAAGCAAUCCACCUGGGGAGUACGGUCGCAAGACUGAAACUCAAAGGAAUUGACGGGGGCCCGCACAAGCAGUGGAGUAUGUGGUUUAAUUCGAAGCAACGCGAAGAACCUUACCAGGUCUUGACAUCCGACUAACGAAGCAGAGAUGCAUCAGGUGCCCUUCGGGGAAAGUCGAGACAGGUGGUGCAUGGUUGUCGUCAGCUCGUGUCGUGAGAUGUUGGGUUAAGUCCCGCAACGAGCGCAACCCUUGUCAUUAGUUGCUACGCAAGAGCACUCUAAUGAGACUGCCGUUGACAAAACGGAGGAAGGUGGGGACGACGUCAAAUCAUCAUGCCCUUUAUGACCUGGGCUACACACGUACUACAAUGGCCGCUAACAGCGGGAGGCAAGAGCGCGAGCUGGAGCAAAUCCCCAAAAGCGGUCUCAGUUCAGAUUGCAGGCUGCAACCCGCCUGCAUGAAGUCGGAAUUGCUAGUAAUCGCAGGUCAGCAUACUGCGGUGAAUACGUUCCCGGGCCUUGUACACACCGCCCGUCA
rnacentral:rRNA from 1 species